rnacentral:rRNA from 1 species
AGUUUACGUUCUAUAACCCUUUGUGAACAUACCUAUAACUGUUGCUUCGGCGGGUAGGGUCUCCGCGACCCUCCCGGCCUCCCGCCUCCGGGCGGGUCGGCGCCCGCCGGAGGAUAACCAAACUCUGAUUUAACGACGUUUCUUCUGAGUGGUACAAGCAAAUAAUCAAAACUUUUAACAACGGAUCUCUUGGUUCUGGCAUCGAUGAAGAACGCAGCGAAAUGCGAUAAGUAAUGUGAAUUGCAGAAUUCAGUGAAUCAUCGAAUCUUUGAACGCACAUUGCGCCCGCCAGCAUUCUGGCGGGCAUGCCUGUUCGAGCGUCAUUUCAACCCUCAAGCUCUGCUUGGUGUUGGGGCCCUACAGCUGAUGUAGGCCCUCAAAGGUAGUGGCGGACCCUCCCGGAGCCUCCUUUGCGUAGUAACUUUACGUCUCCACUGGGAUCCGGAGGGACUCUUGCCGUAAAACCCCCCAAUUUUCCAAAGGUUGACCUCGGAUCAGGUAGGAAUACCCGCUGAACUUAAGCAUAUCAAU